GCGGUCAUGGCGGAAUUGGCAGACGCGCACGGUUCAGGUCCGUGUGGGGGCAACCCCGUGGAGGUUCAAGUCCUCUUGACCGCACCA
rnacentral:tRNA from 1 species